rnacentral:rRNA from 1 species
CAGCAGCCACGGUGAACACGUAGGUGGCAAGCGUUGUCCGGAAUUAUUGGGCGUAAAGGGCUCGCAGGCGGUUUCUUAAGUCUGAUGUGAAAGCCCCCGGCUCAACCGGGGAGGGUCAUUGGAAACUGGGAAACUUGAGUGCAGAAGAGGAGAGUGGAAUUCCACGUGUAGCGGUGAAAUGCGUAGAGAUGUGGAGGAACACCAGUGGCGAAAGCACUCUGCUGGGCCGACACUGACACUGAGAGACGAAAGCUAGGGGAGCAAGUGGGAUUAGAUACCCCGGUAGUCCCUGUCUCUUAUA